CUAAGCGGGAAACUCGCCUUAAGAUGAGAUAUCCCUGGAGGCUAGACCUCCUUGAAGGGUCGUUCGAGACCAGGACGUUGAUAGGUCAGGUGUGUAAGCGCAGUAAUGCGUUCAGCUAACUGAUACUAAUUGCCCGUAAGGCUUGAUCCUAUAACA
rnacentral:rRNA from 1 species